AACGACUUCUCAUGAAACACAAAUACACAAUUAUGGUUAUAUCUUAAAGCAUACGUAAUUCAUGUAACACCUUUAACUCUUAAAAUAGAAUAUCCUGACCUAGAAACAAACAUCUGAAGGAGCAAGCUGAAGAACGCCUCCGGGUGCGGGAAUUUCUCGCUGCAUUGAAGACCUGUUGGUGACCUUCUGCUGUUGUCUGUUAUAUGGUCGGGUUGUUGUCUCUUUGACACAUUCCCCAUUUCCAUGCUCAAUUUUAUAAAAUCAUUGAAGAUUAUAAUGGCAAUAUAUGAAGCACUGUUUUUUCUAAUGAUUUCAACAAUAGUAGCUAUAGCAAAAUCGUCAGAUGAUAUGAAUGAAGUUGAUAGUGAAGAUCCAGCUCAUAACUCUGUGUAUUGGAUAGUUGAGACGAAUCCCGUCAUUUUUGGUCGGAACGUUACUUUACGUUGCAUAACAGCAAAUGUGGAAAAUAUAUGUUUAAAGUGUCCAGAACGAUGGUAUGGAGGCAAAGAACUUUCCCUUUAAAAUUUAUCAUAUAAUGGCUAUCCAUCAAAGAAUACGAAGUUUGUUCCAAGUACCGGCCAUAGUGGAUUUGGGAUCAUAAUAACGCAAUUUGACAAGAAGGACCUUAAUGUAAAUUACAGUUGUUCCUUUGGUCCAUAUUUCGACAAAAAAAACUUAACGGCAGACAUGUUGAAUAUAAAAGAAGAAUCAUGGGAUGGUGACUCGUCAGAAGAAUUAAAUACGUUUUUGUUAGUGGGUAUACUGAUAGGGCUCGCACUAGUGCCACUCGCUGUAUGUUUAGUGAGGUAUCGAAUAGUAAUUAAAAAACGUCGACAACAUGAAGAAAGAAGAGAACAAAGAUACGAAGAAAAAGAGGUUAAACAUGUAGCACACAUUGCAAAUUUAGCAAAAGCAAAACGUUACUUGAUUGCAGAUAAGGACUCAACUGAAAAGUUUUCUCAUCAAAACUCAAACGAUUUACAAAUUUUACCAUCAGACAAACUUUUGUUAUAGCAAGUGUUUAAGGAGUAUAAUUUUAUGUUGAUGCCAAUACUCUUGAAUGUACUUUACAAAAUAAGAAAGAAUCUGAAAAUUUAAGAAAUAUAUUCGAAUUAAGAACUUAAGAGUCGCUAACAAACUGAAUGGGUUUUGAUUAAAGUAAUUUUGAAAACC